AAACCAUAGAGGGUAAAACACCUGCUAUGACAGGACUGGACAUGCUUAUUGCAGUGGACAACAUAACUGACAGUUUCUUUGAAAAACAGCAGCUGACAAUCUCGUAACGCAUGCGUCUCUUCCUCCUGAAAUGAUCCAAGUUCAAGGUGCUGAUGUUUCAUUGAAGUGAUGCAAGAUACCCCAAGAGCCUGUCGCAGUGCAGUAAGUGGACAUGGCAACACAUAUCUCCAGAUGCUUGCUGUGACCACCCCACCAUACCAGACACACCCCCUCCAGCUUCAGACUCCAUCCACCACCAAAAAUUGAACGCUUCCAGGAGCUCUGAGUCUGUUGGCCAGGUCUGCUCUCCUUCCAUGGGGUCCACCUCAGCCUCCGCCUGCAGACUCUCCCUGCUGGAGGGGUCCGCUUUCAUGAGCACCCUCACUGGGGCCUCCUCCUCGCCUCCAUCCUGUAGGAAACACAGAUGACUGAGGCUUUGCAGGUCUGGUUGCUGUUAAGAUGAGGGGAAGAGGGUCUGAAGGUGCAUCAAUCUGACUGAUCUGAAAGUCUCCAUAUCCAGUGAUGUGCACCAGUCUGUUAACUUGUAGAGGACAACCACGGACGUACCCAGAGACACAGAGUGUGCCCAGGCCAGUGGGUCCACCACCUGUCCCCUCAGCAGGGCUGUUUGCCGUAAAAGACACUUUCUGAGCCAAAAGAUGGGCACGUCUGGAGCGGAAACCGAGCUUUCUCUGUCUCUGAGUGCCCAGGUGUCUGAGAAGUAGAGUGCCAUCCUGCUCCGAAUCCAAAGGGUAGAUACGCUCAUCAGGGAAACGGAUCUCUGUGAUUUUCGACAGAGCUCUCUUGGAAUCAACCUUUUUCUUCACAGGAAGUUCAGACACACCCUGACACACCAGUGCUACACGGGGCAAAUGUAGGAACAGAGAGGAAAACUUAGAAAAUGUACACCAUAAAAAGCUGAAAUAAUGUAUAUAAUGGGCUGCAACAAAAGUCUAUACAAGUGUCAAUAAAGGAGUCUAAACACUUCCGGCAGUGUGUUCAGAUUU